UACCAUGCAAGUCGAACGGUGAAGCCCAGCUUGCUGGGUGGAUCAGUGGCGAACGGGUGAGUAACACGUGAGCAACCUGCCCCUGACUCUGGGAUAAGCGCUGGAAACGGCGUCUAAUACUGGAUACGAGACGUGACCGCAUGGUCAACGUUUGGAAAGAUUUUUCGGUUGGGGAUGGGCUCGCGGCCUAUCAGCUUGUUGGUGAGGUAAUGGCUCACCAAGGCGUCGACGGGUAGCCGGCCUGAGAGGGUGACCGGCCACACUGGGACUGAGACACGGCCCAGACUCCUACGGGAGGCAGCAGUGGGGAAUAUUGCACAAUGGGCGGAAGCCUGAUGCAGCAACGCCGCGUGAGGGAUGACGGCCUUCGGGUUGUAAACCUCUUUUAGCAGGGAAGAAGCGAAAGUGACGGUACCUGCAGAAAAAGCGCCGGCUAACUACGUGCCAGCAGCCGCGGUAAUACGUAGGGCGCAAGCGUUAUCCGGAAUUAUUGGGCGUAAAGAGCUCGUAGGCGGUUUGUCGCGUCUGCUGUGAAAUCUGGGGGCUCAACCCCCAGCCUGCAGUGGGUACGGGCAGACUAGAGUGCGGUAGGGGAGAUUGGAAUUCCUGGUGUAGCGGUGGAAUGCGCAGAUAUCAGGAGGAACACCGAUGGCGAAGGCAGAUCUCUGGGCCGUAACUGACGCUGAGGAGCGAAAGGGUGGGGAGCAAACAGGCUUAGAUACCCUGGUAGUCCACCCCGUAAACGUUGGGAACUAGUUGUGGGGUCCAUUCCACGGAUUCCGUGACGCAGCUAACGCAUUAAGUUCCCCGCCUGGGGAGUACGGCCGCAAGGCUAAAACUCAAAGGAAUUGACGGGGACCCGCACAAGCGGCGGAGCAUGCGGAUUAAUUCGAUGCAACGCGAAGAACCUUACCAAGGCUUGACAUAUACGAGAACGGGCCAGAAAUGGUCAACUCUUUGGACACUCGUAAACAGGUGGUGCAUGGUUGUCGUCAGCUCGUGUCGUGAGAUGUUGGGUUAAGUCCCGCAACGAGCGCAACCCUCGUUCUAUGUUGCCAGCACGUAAUGGUGGGAACUCAUGGGAUACUGCCGGGGUCAACUCGGAGGAAGGUGGGGAUGACGUCAAAUCAUCAUGCCCCUUAUGUCUUGGGCUUCACGCAUGCUACAAUGGCCGGUACAAAGGGCUGCAAUACCGCGAGGUGGAGCGAAUCCCAAAAAGCCGGUCCCAGUUCGGAUUGAGGUCUGCAACUCGACCUCAUGAAGUCGGAGUCGCUAGUAAUCGCAGAUCAGCAACGCUGCGGUGAAUACGUUCCCGGGUCUUGUACACACCGCCCGUCAAGUCAUGAAAGUCGGUAACACCUGAAGCCGGUGGCCUAACCCUUGUGGAGGGAGCCGUCGAAGG
rnacentral:rRNA from 1 species